rnacentral:lncRNA from 1 species
CUGCGUUUUAUUUUAUAGACAUUUCCUCACUCUGGUCUUAUGAUUUGAUCAGUGUAUUUAAUAAUAGCUAAAGCUCGCUGUCAUGUGGUCAAAACAAUUACAGGAAAAGUUCGCGCAUGCGCGUUUGUGCUUAACUUCCACACAUUCGCUCGGCCACUAUCAAUCGAUCAGAGAGCAGAAGAUGGCGGCGCGUCGAGGCUGAGCACUGAGAUCGAUCACCGAAACACUCGAUUGGAUUGAUCAUCUGAAUUCGCGGAAAGCCAGAAACUCGUCCAUUAUAUGAGCAUACUGUUGCCUAAAGUGCUAUAGUCCACUCCAUCAGUUAUGGACUUUCCUUGGCAUAGUGGGAAAGUCCUUGGGCAGCUUAAUGAACAACGUCAGUUGGGUCUUCUUUGUGACUGCACUUUUGUGGUGGAUGGAGUAGACUUCAAGGCCCACAAGGCUGUGCUGGCAGCAUGUAGUGCUUACUUCCGCACACUCUUUUUGGACCAGAAAGAUGUUGUUCAUCUUGAUAUCAGCAAUGCUGCAGGUCUUGAGCAGGUCCUUGAGUUUAUGUACACUGCAAAGCUGACUAUAAACCCUCAGAACAUAGAGGAUGUUCUUGCUGUAGCUACUUUCCUUCAGAUGCAGGAAAUUGUCAAUGCUUGUUCAGCUUUUCAGUCCUUGACUGUCCCUGCAACAUCUAAGCCUGUAGUAGUUACCGAGCCGGUGGAGGAACAGCCGAGAUCUCUGAGAAAACCCGAGGAUUCGAGUUCCCAGGAGGAGCAGGAGAGUCAUUCAGUGACUCAGGAUGCAGUUUCUGAAGUGAAGAAAGCUCCUGUACAGUCAGAGACAACAGAAACCAAGGAGGCUGCAAGUGACACGACUGAGAAGCAAAGCAAAAAGACUCUGAGAGCUGUCAGCAAAAUCAGUGGGCCAUCCAAAACAAGACAAAAAAAAAACAAGACUGAAACAGAGGAAGAAAUUCCACAAUACGAAGAUGACCCUUCUGAUGCUGACUACACUCCUAAAGUCUCUCAGAGGGUAGCAGCUAAACGAUCAUUUGUUAGCACAAGGAGAAGCAAGUCCAAAUAUGCCACUGUUCACAUGGCCACAGAAGUUGAUGAUGCCGAGGAAAGUAUGUCAAAAGCUGAGAGCGUGGAGAACAUGGUAGAAGAGGAGGAUGUAGAGGAUGAAGAAGAAGCAGAGGAGGAGGAGCAGGAAGAAGGAGAAGAGCAAAUGGAGACAGAGGAUGGAGAAACAAUGGGUUCGGAUGGGAAGAUGUCUGCAGUUGUGGCCGAGCGCAGUGAGUCCAGAGCGUAUGGCUCUGUCAUACACAAAUGUGAGGUGAGAGAUUCUUCAGUUUUGUAAUCCUUAUUGUCUUUGUCCUAUAGGCCUGUUUGUUAUGCAGUAUCAGUCAAAAGUGGAC